GAGUUUGAUCAUGGCUCAGAUUGAACGCUGGCGGCAUGCCUUACACAUGCAAGUCGAACGGCAGCACGGGAGCUUGCUCCUGGUGGCGAGUGGCGAACGGGUGAGUAAUGCAUCGGAACGUAUCCUGGAGUGGGGGAUAACGUAGCGAAAGUUACGCUAAUACCGCAUAUUCUGUGAGCAGGAAAGCGGGGGACCUUCGGGCCUCGCGCUCUUGGAGCGGCCGAUGUCGGAUUAGCUAGUUGGUGAGGUAAAGGCUCACCAAGGCGACGAUCCGUAGCAGGUCUGAGAGGAUGAUCUGCCACACUGGAACUGAGACACGGUCCAGACUCCUACGGGAGGCAGCAGUGGGGAAUUUUGGACAAUGGGGGCAACCCCGAUCCAGCCCAUGCCGCGUGAGUGAAGAAGGCC
rnacentral:rRNA from 1 species